rnacentral:rRNA from 1 species
UGGGGAAUUUUGGACAAUGGACGCAAGUCUGAUCCAGCCAUGCCGCGUGCGGGAAGAAGGCCUUCGGGUUGUAAACUGCUUUUGUACGGAACGAAAAGACUCCUUCUAAUAAAGGGGGUCCAUGACGGUACCGUAAGAAUAAGCACCGGCUAACUACGUGCCAGCAGCCGCGGUAAUACGUAGGGUGCGAGCGUUAAUCGGAAUCACUGGGCGUAAAGCGUGCGCAGGCGGUUAUAUAAGACAGAGGUGAAAUCCCCGGGCUCAACCUGGGAACUGCCUUUGUGACUGCAUAGCUAGAGUACGGUAGAGGGGGAUGGAAUUCCGCGUGUAGCAGUGAAAUGCGUAGAUAUGCGGAGGAACACCGAUGGCGAAGGCAAUCCCCUGGACCUGUACUGACGCUCAUGCACGAAAGCGUGGGGAGCAAACA